UGGUGUAAGAUUAUUUGUGCAACUUUUCAGGAUCCAUUUGGAGCCUGGGUAAGACAAAUGUUAUAGCAGAGAGCCAAAGCCAAGUUCAACAGGUUGCGGUCAUCAAACGGGAGACAACCAGCAAGUAAUUCAAAUAGUAUUACUCCACAAGACCAAAUAUCUGCUGCGGCACCAUCAUAGCUCUUAUUCGCAAUCAGCUGUUGAUACAUAAAAGAUGGAAACAGCAUCCUUGGGAAUUAGUGAAUCUCGGGUAUGCCUUUUUGUUAUUAUAAUUUACCUAAAUUUUUCUCAGUUUCUUUCUUGUCCUCAACAAUAAACUUUGAUGAAUAGGAUUACCCAAGGAAAAAAAAAUUACACACACACUAGGCCAUAUGAAGUCAUUUCUUACCUCAGGUGCUACAUAGCUUGGAGAGCCACAUGCUGUAGAUAGCAGGUGACCUGGCUAUUAAAUUUUUAAGAAUUUCAGCGAAGCACCCAUCUUAGAUAAAUGAUGAUGAACAAAACAAAAUUGUAAGUUUGUGUAUGCUACCUUAUGCAAUGCACUUAGUCCAAAAUCUGAUACUUUUAUAUUCCCUUUGCUAUCCAAAAGCAAGUUUUCUGGCUGAAUAAGAAGCUAAGUUGUUGUCAUUCUAUGUGACUUUCCAGAAUAGAGUUAAAAAAUGUGUAGGGUUGUGCCUUACAGACCUUUAAAUCUCUGUGAUACACCCCCUUGUUGUGGCAGUAGUCUACCACAUCAAUCAACUGCUGAAAAAGUUUUCUUGCCUCAGAUUCGCUUAACCUCUUGGCAUAGGACUGCAGAUUUAGAAGGAUUAGAAAUGAUUUUAAGAAAAGAAAAGAUAUAUAAAACAGAUUUUUGUAGUUGAUUCUCACCAUCUUGUCUGAGAGUUGUCCACCCGGCACAUAUUCCAUGACGAUAUAGAUUUUUGUCUUUGUGCCUAUAACCUGUUAUUGAAAGCAGGGAGAGGGAAAUCUUUGCAAACUAGAAGGGAAAGAAAAAUAUAAUAAAGAAUAGGCGAACUUAAGUUGGUUACAUACCUCGUGUAUACGUACAAUGUUGGGGUGAUGUAGAAUUUUCAUAGUUCUUAUUUCUCUUUGCACCUAAUAUUGAUUGUGGUGAAUGAAGAAGAAACAAAAUUCCUUUACAUAUAUAGACAGACAAACAUUUACACUAUUCAUUUGUUAUAGAUGGAUGUGUUGUUGAAAAUGGAUUACUAUAAACAUGCCUGGAACUUCAGAUUACUCUGCAUGACCAUGAGUUUAUCAAUGACCUUGAGUGCAACAUACUGGCCAUUAGUGCUAUCUACAGCCAGCUUAACCUUGGCAAAUGUACCUUCUCCGAUGGUCCGGCCAAUCUGAUACUUUCCUAUGUUUUUGGCAGAUCCCAUUUGCUUUGACUUUAGAAAAUUCGAUGACUGAAUAGCCAAAUUUAGACCUUUCUUUCCAAUGACAACUAACACUUGCUUUAACUUGAUGCUUCCCUUAAUUGAUAUCGUACAUAUAUAUGUCUCACUCAUGAAAAUGAAAAUCUCCACUAUCAAGCAUGGCUCAAAGUUGAAGCGAAGCACGUGCUUCUGCGAAGUAGAUGGGUCACCCUUGUGUUUCUCAUGGAUCCUUUAUAAUUGGAGAAAUAGUUUUGAGGUCAGAUUUCAGAGUUCAAUAGUUUCCUAUUCUAAUAAUAAUAACUAUUAUUAUUAUAAUUCUGUUUUCUUUUGCAAUGCUUGGAAGAAUGCUGUUUUGAGUUGGGUCUUUGCUUGAAGGCGCUGACUAGUUGGCUAAUGGUUAUUGUUGACCGAAUGUGGUUUGAAUGGAAGAUAUAUAUCAUUAGGUGAUAAUUGAGAAGGAGUUAAUAAUAGUUAUCAUGGUUUUGAAUAUUCUUACAUCAUUUUCAGUAAAAAUAUUUGAAUACUGAAAUGUUAGUAGUGAUCAGGGUCGUCCAUGGCAUUCGUGUCAUGAUGCAGUUUGGUCCAGGGUCAACUCAAAUUGAUGAUGAAAUCUUGGCCACAAAAUAGGUAAUAAGUGAAACAUGCAUCAGGGGCACCAUCUGGUUUUUUUUUCGUCUCACCAACCGUUGCCAAUUUGACUUGAUUUUAGAAAUAACUUUUACCAAUAAGUUCUCACUAUUAUUUUUAAGUCGAUCAGCGUGAAAAAUGUGAGCCUUCCGUUAUUAUUUUUGAAGGACUAUUAAUGUGAUGAAUACGGACUUGUCACAGUAAUAGUGAUCAGCUAGAAAAAUAUACUGUUCACAAAUAAAUAUUUGAAUAUAUAUAUUGGCCCAAAAAAUUCUCUUAUGAGUAGAUUAGGUUACUAAUUAAAUUAACUUAACUAGCAUUUCCUUUUUAAAUUUCUUUUCCUUGUGAUACGUGGGUUCACUUUCAUCUUGACGUUUUGAAGUUUGGUUGGGUAUAAAUUUUCUAAUUUUGUAAGUAUCUAAUUCAAAUGAUUUGAGAAGCACAAUCACCUGGACGGAGGACGGAGGACGGAGGACGGGGAUGAUUUGAGAAGUUGGGCUAGGUAUAAAUUUGAUAAUUUUGUAAGUAUCAUAAAGAAAAAUAAUAUAAAUUAGCUGUGCUAUCUCGUUUGACUUUUUCUUUUACUGAUUUGUCUUAUUAAAGACUAUUAUUGUAAAUGUCUUUAAUUUCUUAAUGUGGGUUGUGGGUUGUCAUGAUUUUUUUAUGAAGGGCAGGUUUUUUAGCUUAGCACGAAUGUUAGGUCGUGAAGGAGUAGGGAACUUGUUAACUUUGCAAGUGUAGCUACCAAGUAUUCAGAUCUCUUGGAGAGAUGUUCGGUAAACUAGACGUUUACACAAAUGAUAUCUAGGGCGUUAAGGCAAUCUAAUAGGAUUUAAGGCAAGGUAAGGUAAGCUUACACAAAGAGCAUCUUCAAUGGAGUGAUAAAUUAUUUUUCACAUUGCUAAAAUAUAACUCAUUUUACAAAAAAAAAUUGUUUUAAUGGUGUGCUAAAUACACAAUAUAAUAUUAUACAUAUUUUGCAUUACCAUGAAUACUACACUUAAAUUUACUUUUAUGUCAUUUUUAUUAUUUUAGUAUUAAUUUUAAUAAUCACCAUUAAAUACUUGAUUUUUUACCUUAUUAUUUUAUUAUUAUCUCUAACUAUCAAUAAUAAAAUUUAAAUAAAAAUUAUUAAUUUUGUAUAAUUUUAAUAAAUAUUAAUUGGACAUUAAUGAAAAUUUGAUUUUUGCAUCAGCUUUUACUAAAAAUUAUACUAAAUAUAUCACAUAUUAAUUUUUGGUGGCAAAUAUAAAAAAAAGAAUAUGAUCUAGUUACAUUACAAAAUGAAACAAAUUAUCACAUUUGGGUGUACAAUGUAUAAAAUCAUUAAAUUUAUAGAUAAUUUUAAAAAUAAAAACAAAACCGCAUAACGGUAACCAUAUGAAUAAACAAAAAUAAAUAUAUAAAAUUACUAUAUUCAAAUCAAACAAUCAGAGAAAUUACUUUAAAUUCUUAGUUAUUAGUUUUUUUUAAAAUAAAAAAAAAUUAGUUUCAUACCCAAUGCCCUGAUCGUGGAAUUUUUCUUAAAAAUCUCAAAAAUUUGAAGGAGUGAGGGUGGGUGGCUUUGCAUGGGUGAUGCGGGUGGAUGUUGGGUUGUGGCGAGGUUGAGCUGUGGGUGGAUUUUGGUGUGGGGUUUCGCCAUGGGUUUUGGGGGAGGGGGAGAGUGUACCUCGAAAUAAAAAUUUUAUUUGAUGAUGCAAUGGCGACUUUUUUUAAUUACACAUAGAUGCAUAUAAAUUCAAAUUUCUCCUAUUAAAUAGUUGUAAAAAGGGAUUGGAAUAGUAUUGUACUUUUUUUAAUUACUCCCUGAUGCUCACGAUUACUUGUAUGGAAUCGGAGGGUCUGACGCUCAGGAUAACUCGAUCGGAGCUUUUGGCAGGUCUGAGUUAUUAAAGUUAUCGAUAGGUCGGAGCUUUUGAGGGGGUGAACCUAAAAAAGAUCUCGGCUGGAGCUUUCGAUUGGGUUGGGUCUAGACAAGAUUUGGGUUAAGGGUUUCGAAGUUCGACUCAUAUUUGUAAUUUUUGGUUUAUGGUUUUCGGAAAUAUAUCGAAUAGAUUUUUGUUGGAUUGGGAUUGUGAUUUUGAAGUUGUGAUUUGAGUUUUGGAUUGAGAUUUUGAAUUCUGUAAUUUGUGCGGCUGAAUUUGGAGAAGAACAUGAUUUUGUUAGAUUUUUUUUUCUUUGAUUUUGUGUUGGUAGUAUUUGUAUAAAACUAACUUUGAGUACGUAUUGAGUUUCUGGUUUUGAGAAUGAAUGCUAGUGUUCAUUAAAGCUUCAACUGACUAUUUUUGGUCAAUGCAAAAUGCAAGUGCUUGAUGAUA